UACAGAGGGUGCAAACGUUGCUCGGAAUUAUUGGGCGUAAAGCGCGUGUAGGCGGCUUGUUAAGUCGGUUGUGAAAACCCAUGGCUCAACCAUGGAAGGGCGUCCGAAACUGGCAAGCUAGAGUCCCGACGAGGAUGGCGGAAUUCCCAGUGUAGAGGUGAAAUUCGUAGAUAUUGGGAGGAACACCGGUGGCGAAGGCGGCCAUCUGGGAGGGCACUGACGCUGAGACGCGAAAGCGUGGGGAGCAAACAGG
rnacentral:rRNA from 2 species